GUGGGAAAAGCAGUACCAUGCACCGAGCCGUCCUGGGGUGCCAGGCACUGUAUGGGAGUCGCCUGAGUUACCUAAGCAUUCCAGCCACACCACCCUGUGGGGUGCAAGCCACGCUUUCUAUUUUUCUGUGCAAAUAUGGAAACAUCAUCAUCAAUACCCCUUACACAUAUGCAUCACUUUGUGGUUAACAAAACACUUUCUAUGUCACCUGGAGCUACAAAUAGCCUGGAAGAAGGCGGGGCACAUUUACAGCAUUUGACUCCUGGCAGCCCAGUGCAGGGAGGUGAUCUACUCACUGAAGCUUCUUGAGGCCGUCAUCAGAAGCAGAUGCCAAGCUUCUUUUACAGCCUGCAGAACCAUGAGCCAAAUAAAUCUCUUUUCUUUACAAAUUACC
rnacentral:lncRNA from 1 species